AUUGAACGCUGGCGGCAGGCCUAACACAUGCAAGUCGAGCGGGGUUUUCGGACCUAGCGGCGGACGGGUGAGUAAUGCGUAGGGAGCUGCCCGAUAGAGGGGGAUACCAGUUGGAAACGACUGUUAAUACCGCAUAAUGUCUACGGACCAAAGUGUGGGACCUUCGGGCCACAUGCUAUCGGAUGCGCCUACGUGGGAUUAGCUAGUUGGUGAGGUAAUGGCUCACCAAGGCGACGAUCUCUAGCUGGUUUGAAAGGAUGAUCAGCCACACUGGAACUGAGACACGGUCCAGACUCCUACGGGAGGCAGCAGUGGGGAAUAUUGGACAAUGGGCGCAAGCCUGAUCCAGCCAUGCCGCGUGUGUGAAGAAGGCCUUCGGGUUGUAAAGCGCUUUCAGCGAGGAGGAAGGGUGGUGUGUUAAUAGCACAUCAUUUUGACGUUACUCGCAGAAGAAGCACCGGCUAACUCUGUGCCAGCCGCCGCCGUAACAC
rnacentral:rRNA from 1 species